rnacentral:rRNA from 1 species
GCUUAGAGAGGGGUCAAUGUCCUAUCAGCUAGUUGGUAGGGUAAUGGCCUACCAAGGCUAAGACGGGUAGCCGGCCUGAGAGGGUGGUCGGCCACACUGGGACUGAGACACUGCCCAGACUCCUACGGGAGGCUGCAGUCGAGAAUCUUUCGCAAUGCCCGAAAGGGUGACGAAGCGACGCCGCGUGUGGGAAGAAGGCCUUCGGGUUGUAAACCACUGUCGGGAGUUAAGAAAUGUAAGGGUGUUAAUAGCAUCCUUGCUUGACUAAGGCUCCGGAGGAAGCCACGGCUAACUCUGUGCCAGCAGCCGCGGUAAUACAGAGGCGGCAAGCGUUGUUCGGAAUUAUUGGGCGUAAAGAGCGCGUAGGCGGCUUUGUAAGUCAGUUGUGAAAGCCUUCUGCUUAACGGAAGAACAGCAUCUGAUACUGCAAGGCUAGAGUACGGAAGGG